rnacentral:lncRNA from 10 species
AGAAAGUCCCUGUAAAACAGAACAAAAAGCAAUGAUCAGAGAAAUAGGAGGAGAAUCAUAAGAGAUGUCAAAGAAGCAGAGAAUUUGGAAAGGUCUGGAUAAGAAACAGUCUCAAAUGAAAAGCCCAGUUAGAAUAACACUGGGAGUGUCCAGUGUCUUUGACAAUUUGGAGGUGAUGCUUUUGAAAGCAGUUUGAGUUGAGUGGUAAGGUCAGAAGCCAGGCAGCAGUGAGUUUAGAAGUGAGGAAGUAAAGACUCCAAGUAUUUAUCAUUACAAAAUAGGUGUUAUUUUCAAGACGCUUGGCUGAGAAGUAAAGGAGAGGUCAAGAGAGCCUUGCUCCUCGAUAGGAGGUGAGGGAGGAAGCAGAAGAAGUUCAUGCUGGUGGCCUCGGUUUUCAUGAUGAAAUAGGCUAGGCCAUGUGCUGACAGAGUGACUUAAGAAGAAGAGUGAAGGCUUGGUGUGAGCACCAGGCAGAAUGGGAGAGGAGACGCCAGCCAAGGAAACGGUGAUCUACUCUAGAGUUGGCCUGGUUAGAGGGGAGAGGAAAGACGGGAGGAUCCUGCAGGCUGGGUGAAAAUGGAGGGAGCAGGGAACUUGGUAUUCUGUCUAAUCCUAACAGUGGCAAUGGUCUGCCUGCCUUCACUUUCCCAGUAUCCAGCCUCUUUCCCAUGCCGCAUCCCCUGAGCCUGCACCAGAGCAAUGCUGUUGCAGUGUAAGUCCAUCACGUCCCUCCUCUGCUCAGUAGCCUGCUCCUAUCUCAUUCCACGUGAAAGCCAAAAUCCUUUCAAAUCCUGUCAGUUCUCUGUGUGAUCUGGCCUCUGUGAACUCUGACUCCAUCCUCUACUCAACUAUAUCAGCGUCCUCACCCUUUCUUAGGGUACUGCGCUCACGCCCACCUCAGGAGCUUGCACUGUGUUCCCUUGCCUGGAAUUCUUCUCCACCAGAUGACAAGAUCCCUCACUCUCUUCCACCCUUAGCUCUUUUGCGCAGGUGUCUCCGUCCCCAUGAGGCAUCCCUGACCGCCUAUCAAAUCUUACCACUUCCUGCUCGCUCCCCUGACAUUUCCUCUGCAUUUCUCUGCCUUGUUUUCUACCCAGCACUUGAUACUGACUUGAAUACUGCAUGUUUUACUUACCUUGUAUAUUUUCCGCCUGCCCCAGUAGAGUAGCGAUUUAAAUCUGUUCUGCUCAUUUCUGUAUCCCCCGUACCACAGCAGUGUCUGGUACUGAGUAAGAGCUCAAUGAAUAUUGCUUGGACGAGUUCUGAUUCAAGGCUGACCUCCUAUACCCUGGCUAAAAAUGCAUGGUUCUCAAAUUGUUUCAUAGGCAUUAGUUUUGUUUAAUUAGAGCAGAUUGCUUUUAAAAGUAGAGACCUGGUUUACGUGUCAUGCCUGUUGAUUAAUACAAUAUAAUGGCCCUCAUCACUCAAUUGCAUCUGUCCUUUGUCCCAUCCACCACUUUAUACCUGAUCACCUCAUCCUGUUCCGACUACCAUGUAUCCCUUUUCACGCCCUCAACUCCCCCUGUUACCUCGUCUCAGGGAAACCCCAUCACUCCUGUGGAAAUUAUUCUGCUGAUUUAAUCUUUGCUUUUUAAUCAGAUAUAAGGAGGUGGUGGUAGAAGUGGAGAAUGUAUUCAGACCAUCAUACAUCAUUUUAUGGAAGAAAAAGCCUGACACUUUCAUUGGCAAAUAAAUCCUGGAGCUCUGAGUACUGGGAAGGACCUAAGAGGUCAGCUCAUCCAUCUUCACAUCUCUGGGCAGCUCUGCACUGAAAAUCCAUCCCCUAAAUGCAGCUGUCUAGUGGUUUCCCUCACUAUUCUCUAAGGAAGCUACCUUCCUGACCUUCUUUGAUAAGCCAUUUUAGUAUCUUAGUAGAAAGCAUGAAAUUGUUACUAAAGCACCUGCAGUGCAGUAGGGUUACGAAAUUGGAGCACAAAUGGAGUUAGGAGGCUGGACUCUGAGACCAGAACAACCUGGGUUUGAAUUCUGAAUUGAACACCAACUAACUGGGUGACCUUGUGCAAGUUAACCUCUUAAAAAAAUGAAAUAAUAAAAAAGACAGUCCUGAAGAUGUUAUAUGCACAUAUAUACACAUAUAUAAUAUAUGUAAAUGAUAAAUAUAUACUCAAUAAAUACAGACGUACAAAUAUAUACUCGACAAAUGUCUCUUCUCUUCUUCCUUUCUUCUAUUCCUC